rnacentral:lncRNA from 1 species
CGUCAGUGAGCUGGACUUGCUCUACAGCAGCCCAGUUGAUGCAGCGACCUGUGGUGAUAGGUCGUACGCGUAAUAUCUGAAAUAGUUCCUCCUCCGAAGCUUGUGGAAAGUCAAGGAACGAGUGCCGAACUUCGGCUGUAGCACGUACGGAGGAAGAACCCGGUCCCUUAUGUCUCUUUGAGGGUGGGACCGCGGCCUUCUUUC